rnacentral:lncRNA from 1 species
AUUGGUUCGGUGGCGAGUCUGCCCACGGAGCGGGGUGGCUUCACGGCGGAGGGUGACGGCCGGCGAGCAGUUCCCGCCGUUCUGGUGCCAGUCUCCACGGUCCGAGCGCGCGUACGGAUUCUCCGCGGUCUUCUCACCGGCGAGCGAUUCGUCGCCCCCCCCCCCGGUCACGCCUCGCAUGAGGUGGCCACUAGCACCAUGAGGGGAAUACGACGAAGCUCCUAGGCCAGCAGUUGGGGUAAGGCCGAUGAUUCAGCCUGGAGCUGGCCACGACGUUCUCUCACCCUCCCACUCAUUUCUCUGAUUCUCCUCCCUGAGCGGCGACAAGUCUUAGUGGCGCGACUGGUGGUGGCCAUGGACUAGCGGCCAGUGCCUUAGGUACUGUGUGGUGGAGACAAAGGAGAGCGCAGGACCUGGCCAGAAAGCACGCCGAGGUCAAAUCGACGGCGGCAUCUUGCUCAUGGCUCCAUGGGAGAGGGUGUCGGCCACAGGGCUGUGAGUGGCGGUAAGGGAGACGAGGGCUUCUAGAAGAUGGAGGCUGGGGAUUGGAGGUUCCUGCCUUUAUCGCCCCCUCCCAAACUCGGUUGGUUAGCGAGGACCUCGGACGAGCAGCAACGGCCGCGCAUAGUUCGCAAUUCUGUUGAAGAGGUGGCUAAGCAGGCCGGAGGUGAUAGACCCGACGAGUGGCCCCGGUGCCAGUGUUGCAACAGACCCCGCACUGGUAUUCCAGUUGAAUGCGACAGUAGAAUAUGGCCCAGGGAACACGAUAGAACACAUACGUGCUGGUUUCUUUGCUUGCUUGAUGUCAUCAUGACAUUAAGAUGAUGUCAUCCGCGGCAAGAGAAUAAAAUAAAGGAGAAAUGGACGUGUGGGCUUGUGGUAUUUACGUGUGGAAUGAGAUGGGCCAAGCAAGAUUUGGCCCAAACGCUGGUGGUUCUUUUCAUUUUAAUUUCCUUCUUUACUUUUCUCUAUUUCUUUUUCUUUUAUGUUUUAUUUUCUGUUUUAUUUUAUUCCUAAUUAUUUUGAUUCAAAUUUGAAUUUGAAUAUGAGUUCCUCCUUUGAACCAUUUAUACAAAUUCAAACCUUAAUGUAGAAAUAUAUUUUUAUUUCCUUAUUUUUAUUUAAAUACCAUUUGUUUUGCUUUUCCUUUCUAAAUUCUACAAUUCCUUUUUAAUUUUAAAUUCCACUUUGGACUUUAAUAUAUUUCUUGUCACAUUUUUUUAUCUUGUCAUAAUAUGCACACACAAAAAUAAUAUCCAGCAUGAUGCAUAAUUUAAGGGCAUAUAUUCUUUUAUUAGUUAUUUGUUUUUUUUUGAAUAUGGUGUUCGCAUGUGAUGAUAAGUAGAUUCAACAUACACAUAAAAUAUAGGAAAAUAACUUUCCUCCUCUUUUAUUAUCUAUUACAAAUUGGGUAUUACAAAUCCUACCCCCUUAAAAAUAAUCUCGUCCUCGAGAUUUAGGAAGAACGAGGGAAAAGAUGGGGAAAUCUAUGCGAAGCUCUUCUUCUCUUUCCCAUGUAGCUUCGUCUUCUCCGAGGUGACUCCAUUGAACUUUACACAUUUUUAUCUCCUUAUUUCUUGUAACUCGAGUUAAAGUAUCCAAAAUCUUGAUUGGGUACUCCGUGUAAGUCAACUCACCCUGAACACCGAGCUCUUCCAUUGGUAACUGUUCCUCAGGGACAUGGAGACACUUCUUAAGUUGAGACACAUGAAAUACAUUAUGCACAUCAGAUAGACUAGCAGGUAACUCAAGUUGGUAGGCCAUCUCUCCAACUCUCCUAAAGAUCAAGAAUGGUCCAAUAUAGCAAGGGGACAAUUUUCCCUUAACUUUGAAUCUCCUCAUUCCACGAAGUGGUGACACCUUGAGAUACACAUAAUCUCCUUCUUCGAAUUCCAGUGGUCUUCUUCUAUUAUCAGCAUAACUCUUUUGCCUGGUUUGAGCCACCCUCAAAUUCUCUCGAAUUAUACGAACUUGUUCUUCUGCCUCUUGAAUCAGUUCAGGCCCAAAGAACUGUCUUUCUCCAGUCUGAUCCCAAUACAAAGGAGUCCUGCAUUUCCUGCCAUAUAGAGCUUCAAAUGGUGACAUCUUCAGACUGGCCUGAUAACUAUUAUUAUAUGAGAACUCAGCAUACGGUAGACUUUUAUCCCAACUUCCUCCAUGCCGAAGGGCACAAGCUCUCAACAUAUCUUCCAAUACUUGAUUAGUCCUUUCAGUCUGUCCAUCAGUCUGAGGGUGAUAAGCUGUACUGAAAUUCAACUUCGUACUCAUAUUCUCAUGAAAGCUUCUCCAAAAUCUUGAGGUAAACUGUGAACCUCGAUCAGACACGAUCUUCUUUGGUACUCCAUGUAAACACACAAUCCGAGCCAUAUAUAACUCUGCUAGCUGAGAACCUUUAUAAGUAGUCUUGACAGGAAUAAGGUGAGCCACUUUAGUCAAUAUAUCCACAAUCACCCAUAUAGCAUCAUAUCAUUUCUGGGUGCGAGGCAAUCCAGUAAUAAAAUCCAUACCAAUCUCUUCCCAUUUCCACUCGGGUAUCUUCAGUGGGUGCAAUAGUCCAGCUGGCCUCUGGUGUUCAGCCUUAACUCUUUGACGCACAUCGCACAUAGCCACAUGUGCAGCUACAUCUCUUUUCAAUCCAUACCACCAAUACUUCCGCUUCAAAUCCUGAUACAUCUUAGUACUACCAGGAUGAAUAGAAUAAUCCGAAUCAUGGGCCUCUUUCAAUAUAGUCUCUCGAAGGCUUUCAAUAUCAGGAACACACAUCCUGUCCUUGAACCAUACAGUGUCUUGCUCAUCUUCCGUGAAUUCUGGAACUCGACCUUCCAUAAUCAGAUCCUUAAUUUCUUGAAUCUUAGCGUCACCAACCUGACCUUUACGAAUCUCUUGCUCCAAGGUAGGUUCCAAUUCAAUGGUAACUCCUUCAGUGUGAGUAACAAUUCCCAGGUUGAGCCUCUCAAAAUCUUUGGCUAAUUCAUCGGGUAGCUGGACAACGAAAGCGGAGUGAACAUGCUCCUUCCGACUCAAGGCAUCUGCAACCAAAUUCGCCUUGCCCGAGUGAUAGUGAAUUUCCAAAUCUUAAUCCUUAAUAAGCUCCAACCAACGGCGUUGCCUAAGGUUGAGAUCCUUUUGAGUGAAUAUAUACUUCAGGCUCUUAUGAUCCGUAUAUACUUGGCACUUGGUUCCCAUAAUGUAAUGUCUCCAAAUCUUAAGAGCAUGCACAACUGCUGCUAAUUCCAAGUCAUGUGUGGGGUAGUUCAGUUCAUGUUUGCGUAACUGACGAGAAGCGUAGGCAAUCACAUGUCCUUCCUGCAUGAGCACACAUCCUAAGCCUUGGCCACAUGCAUCACAAUAGAUAUCAAAUCCUUUCUGUAAGUCCGGCAUAACCAAUACUGGUGGCGACAUCAAUCUUUUCUUCAAUUGAUCAAAGCUGUCUUGGCACUUCUCGUCCCACUUAAAUUCUCUUCCUUUCUCCAAAAGCGAAGUCAUAGCUUAGCAAUCUUAGAAAAUCCUUCAAUAAAUCUCCGAUAGUAUCCUGCAACUCCUAGGAAACUCCGAAUCUCAGUAACUAUAGUGGGUACUCUCCACUCCAUUAUCUCCUUAACCUUAGCAGGAUCCACUGAUAUUCCUCCAUUAGAAAUGAUAUGUCCAAGAAAUGGCACCUCGCCAAUCCAAAACUCACAUUUGCUAAACUUGGCGUAGAGUUGAUUGUCUCGUAGCUUCUGUAGCACCAAUCUCAGGUGUUCCUCAUGGUCACUUUCACUCUUAGAAUAGAUAAGAAUAUCGUCGAUAAAUACUACGACGAAUCUGUCCAAAUACUCCAUAAACACCUUAUUCAUCAAAUUCAUAAAAUAAGUUGGUGCAUUAGUUAAUCCAAACGACAUAACAGUGAACUCAUAUAAUCCAUAUCGAGUCGAGAAAGCUGUCUUGGGAAUAUCCGAUGGCCUAAUCUUCAUCUGAUGGUAUCCCGAUCGAAGAUCAAUUUUCGAGAAUACCCUUGCACCUCUCAUCUGAAUAAAUCCUCAAUGCGGGGUAAUGGACACUUGUUCUUCAUAGUGAAAUUGUUAAGGGACCUAUAAUCCACGCACAUACUUUGUGAUCCAUCUUUCUUCUGUACAAACAGAACCGGUGCUCCCCAAGUUGAAGAACUCGAACGAAUGUACCCAACCUCUUGUAAUUCCGUUAAUUGCUUCUUAAGUUCCUUUAGUUCUUCUACAGACCUCCUGUAUGGCCGUUUGAAAGUAGGGGUAGUCCCAGGUAAGGGAUCAAUGACAAACUCAACUUCCCUAUAUGGUGGCAUCCCUGGUAACUCUUCUGGGAAGACAUCCGAAAAAUCUCUAACCACACGGAUGUUGACACCAACAAACUUCCCAUCUACUAAGAAUGCUGCUAGUCUGGUGGCAGUAGUUACUGCAAUUCCAACUUCAAAUCUUUCUCCUUUGGAACUGGUGAGUUAUGUGGUUCCCUUAGCAACUAUCUUUGACUUUCUUAACCAUGACAUACCAAGGAUCAAGUCUAUACUGCUCUCUUCUAACAGUAUAGGGGUAAGAAAGGAAGAAUUGUAGACAAGGCGAGUAUUUAUGAGGAAUGUUACUGCGGGGGAUUUAUUAGCUAAGUAGAUUAGUGUGUUAUCCACUAAAGCUAAUACUUUACCUUAUGGUGGUACAUGCUAAGAUGUCCAUCUAUAAUAAUUCAAUCAAUCAAAGAAGCAAAUCAGGCAUUUAUCAUCAGCACAAUCAACCAAUCAUUUUUAAUUAAAGAAAAUAGUUUUAAAUUUUGUCUUAGGUUCCCUAUCUCUUAAAAAGAUCAUAGUGGUAGGAUUCCAAGGUGUGAAAUCCAUCUUGUCUUAGAGUAGAAAAGAUAAGAUUAAUCAGAGUAGAAUAGCAAAAGGUGAGACAAGAUCAAGAUGAGAUGAGUAUAAAAUGAGUCAGAGUAAGGUAAGUAGAAAAGGGUUUGUCCAUCUCUAUCUAGGUUUCGUCCUACAGUCAACAUUUCCUUUGAUACCACUUCUGUCACACCCGGCUUUAAGGAACAAAGCCAGGUGCAUCUCAUACAUGCGCCAAGAAGACAACAUAUAUAAUAACAGAGUGUAUAGAGAUAAAUGUCAUAAAACAUCAGAGUAUUUAUUACAUAGCGGAAGACUUAUUACAAAAUAAAAGAUAAAAGUAAAACGAACUAAGGAUCGUUGGCGCCAAUGUCAACUGAGAAACGCCACCUAGAUCAGAUCGAACACCUCGCCUUGUGGCUCCUCCUGAACCACCUGCUCUUCUCCUGUGGGGGGGUGUGAGUCAGCAAGAGUGAGCUCACACAUGAUCAUCGCUCAACAAGUUGUGGGGAAUAAUGUGACAUGAACUCACCAAAGGUGGGAGCUCAUGGAGUGUAAGGCUUAUCAAAGAGAAUGGUUAAAGCUGAGCAUUGCUUUUAAGUAGUUGGUCAAAAUUUUAUUAGCAAUUACUAAGUGUAAGUAAAUACCAAACCUUAAAUAAAGUAAUAGAACAAAUUAAUAAUAAACCCAUGCAUAUGCGAAUGACAAAUUGAAUUUAAGUUCCAUAAUUUAAUCAUCAGAGAGUCCUGAGCUGCUCAUGACCGUGAGCUCGGCUAGUAUACCAGUUUUACACUCUGCAGAGGUUGUACCCUUUACCCACAAGUCAUGCUACCCAUCUGCCAAGGGGUCGCGAAUCCCAUACACCUCUACCUAGGAAGCGCGGCAGGGCAACACUACGAGGCCUUUACAAAGUUCCACUAGCUUCCGAAAACCCGCUACAGUUUAUAGGAAGUUCCAAUGCAGGGUUCCUGGCUGACCGCCAUCGCAGCAAAAUCAACCAGGGACCUCCCUACACUGACCACUCCCCUACUGCCCUUGCCCCUUUCGGGUAAGGUAGUCUUCCACUAGCUUUCCUAAUUAGUCAGCCAAGGGCGUCCCAUUAAACCCUUGUGGUGGCACGUGGUUCUCAAGUUAAGCUCUAUGUUCCAAUUAACAUUAAUGGUCUCAACAUGAACAUAAAUAGAAUAACAAAAAGAAUUGGAACAUAGAGGUAAUAAAUGAUUAUCCCAAAACCAUAUAAAGCAAUAGCAAACUACCCAAGUGAUUCAGGGGUAAACAAGGUAAUGAGAUAAACAAAUCUAGGGUGACCUAUUGGGUCCCAUCAAAAUUAACCUAUGCAUGGAUAAGUGAUAUUAAAGAACAUUAUUGGGUAAAAAGUGGUCAAGGGCACAACUUGCCUGGCACUUGAGAUUCCAGGUACCAACUUGCUUUUCAGAUGACACGCAUCCUCGCGCUAGUCGUAGUAAUACAGACAAACAUGGCAUAGAUAAAAUUAACAUCACACCAAACAUAAUAACAAACUGAAUGAUAAUGAUCUACGCGCUGCUACGAGACUAACGCAACUUGAACGAGUCAAAUCGGAGUUAAAACGAAGGAGUUAUGAAUUUAUGAAGUUUUAAGUGUUGGAUAACAGAUUAAAUAGGAUAUUAAUUUUAAUAUGGCUUUCAUGUUAAAACAGUGCUACCAAGGGAUAAAAAUAAUUAAUACAAAAUUAUGGGAACUAGAAUGGGUUAAUUUGGACCACAUAUGAAUUUUCUAGGAAUAAAAUGAGUUUCUGGAAUUAUUUAUAUACUAGAAAUCAUUUUCUAUAAUUAUUUAUUUAUUUUCACUGCUCCCUGGAUCUCGCGCACAAAAACAGAGAACAGCAGGGUCUAACUCAUAAAAGUUCUUAAGACUCAGUGAACACCGCCAGAGGACGGCGGGUUGAUUUCUUAAAAAGUCGGGGUCUCUUUUACAAAAUCUGCUCAGCGAAGGGGUAGGUUCUAAUCUGGACCGUCCGAUCAAUAAUGUGUGGCGCAGAUUAGAUGUAACUCAAAUGAAACGGUAAGCGCUAUUAGCCGCGGGAUCCGAGAUCCACGGCCACGAUUUAAUGAAGCUAGAUCUAGUCUGAGCCGAGGGAUGGCAGAUCUACGGUGCCUGUUGAUCGCGCGAACGGGUAAGGGAAUACCUAAUCUCGAUCGCCCAUCAUCAGAUCAACGGCCAGUGGCCAUCAUCCACCUUCUGCACGCGGCCACGGCGGAUAGCGGCACCCAGUCACCGCGGCGCGCCCUGGCUAGUCUACUUCCCACCGACCUACGACGUGCGACUGAUCGAGACGCUAGGUGAUAAACAGAGCUAGGACGACGGUGAAGCCAGGCAGGAGGUCUGUACUCACGAUUGGUUCGGUGGCGAGUCUGCCCACGGAGCGGGGUGGCUUCACGGCGGAGGGUGACGGCCGGCGAGCAGUUCCCGCCGUUCUGGUGCCAGUCUCCACGGUCCGAGCGCGCGUACGGAUUCUCCGCGGUCUUCUCACCGGCGAGCGAUUCGUCGCCCCCCCCCCCCGGUCACGCCUCGCAUGAGGUGGCCACUAGCACCAUGAGGGGAAUACGACGAAGCUCCUAGGCCAGCAGUUGGGGUAAGGCCGAUGAUUCAGCCUGGAGCUGGCCACGACGUUCUCUCACCCUCCCACUCAUUUCUCUGAUUCUCCUCCCUGAGCGGCGACAAGUCUUAGUGGCGCGACUGGUGGUGGCCAUGGACUAGCGGCCAGUGCCUUAGGUACUGUGUGGUGGAGACAAAGGAGAGCGCAGGACCUGGCCAGAAAGCACGCCGAGGUCAAAUCGACGGCGGCAUCUUGCUCAUGGCUCCAUGGGAGAGGGUGUCGGCCACAGGGCUGUGAGUGGCGGUAAGGGAGACGAGGGCUUCUAGAAGAUGGAGGCUGGGGAUUGGAGGUUCCUGCCUUUAUCGCCCCCUCCCAAACUCGGUUGGUUAGCGA